CGACAGCUCCUCUGACUCACGUUGCGGUUGGAUGUUUUACUUCAGUUAACCUGUAGAGAAGACAACGGUGAUCAUAAUGGUGGAAAAAUUACAUGAAACGGGAAUCAGGAAGGGCCUCAUCGGAGACAUUUUGUGAAAUUUUCUGCCGUGGCGUCGCCGGUCUUCGCCGGUAUUUUCUGACCAAUUGGUUGAUCUUUUUGCUCGAAUUUUUCCAUGGAUGAGCUUAAAAUUGAAUUUCGUGCAAAAAAAAAGUUUUUACCUUUUUUAGUGGUCAGAAAGGGUUCCGGUGCAGCGACGAGUGGCAGCGAUCGGCUUCCCGACAGUUGGGUUGUCUUCCCCGGCGAGGGGGUCUGGCAGUUAGGGUUAGGGUUGGUGCGGAUGGGUGUUAUUUAUAUCCAUCCACUUUUGAUCUGGGCCGUCCAUCGCGUUUGAUCUGGACCGUUCAAUCGCGAUUAAAU
rnacentral:lncRNA from 1 species